rnacentral:rRNA from 1 species
GACGAACGCUGGCGGCGUGGAUUAGGCAUGCAAGUCGAACGGUAUCAUCCUUUCGGGGGUGAGAGAGUGGCGAACUGGUGAGUAACACGUAGGUUAUCUACCCUCAAGACGGGGACAACCCAGGGAAACUUGGGCUAAUACCGGAUGUGAGCAACUUUUAGUUGUUUGAAAGGUGGCGUAAGCUGUCGCUUGGGGAUGAGCCUGCGUCCUAUUAGUUAGUUGGUGAGGUAACGGCUCACCUAGGCAAUGAUAGGUAGGCGGCCUUAAACGGGUGGUCGCCCACACUGGGAUUGAGAUACGGCCCAGACUCCUACGGGAGGCAGCAGUCGAGAAUAGUCUAACAAUGGUCGGAAGACUGAUAGUGCGACGCCGCGUGAAACGAUGAAUCCCUUCGGGGUGUAAAAGUUCUUUUAUAUGUUGAGCAGUGCUUCUUAUAUUAAACAGUAUGGGGAGAAGAGAAUUAGCAUAUGAAUAAAGCAAACGGCUAAACUCCGUGCCAGCAGCCGCGGGUAAAACUCG